UUGGAAAAAAUGAAAUUGUGAAAAUUUUCAUUUAAUUUCUACAGCAGGCAUUUCUCAUUAAGGAGGUAAGUUGAACUGUGUAAAUUAUGUGGAUCGUGCAUUUGAGGUUAAAUUCACCAAUCUGUCCAUAGUCCAAAAUGCCUAAAGGACGACGUGUGAACAUCGGCCGCCGCACAAGACAUGCAAGCCAGCAACAAGUUUAUUCACAGAACUUAAGCGAAGAAAGACAAAAUUCAACAAGAGAAAAUGCCCGAUUGAGACAACGCGUGAGGACACGAAGAUCACUAGCAUCAUACAAUCGCUUGGCAUUCCAAUAUGAUCCCACUGCGAACUACAGUGAUGAGGAAAAUUUAGAUAUUGGACAAAUGACGACUAUAUGCCGAUAUUGCAAUGCGUUGAAGUUCAAAAGAGAAACGGCUGGAUUGUGCUGCGCAUGUGGAAAAGUCAAACCACCCAGAUCCAUUACUUACACCACUACAGCCACUGAAACCAUUGUUUGAUGGAAGUGAUCCCGAUUCUAGCCAUUUUCUUCAACACAUCCUUGAAUACAAUAACUGCUUUCGCAUGACUUCCUUUGGAGCUAAUAUCAUUCGAAAAGACGGAUUCAUGCCGACUUGCAAGAUACAAGGACAAAUGAACCGCAUCAAUUUCUGCAAAUAUAUUUCAUUUCGUCGAUGGUGGAUCAGCUGAAUGUGCGGUGCAAUAUACAGGGAACACAACAGUUAAAGAGACGAAUUAUUGAACAGUUACAAGCAUUUUUUCGCACUAAUAAUGCUGUGGUUAAUAUGUUCAAAACAGCAUUGGAACGAAUGCCAUCGGAUACGCACAAAUUUGUCAUAAGAGCGGAUUGUACCCCAACAGGUGAACAUGUGCGAAGAUUCUAUGCAACAACCGUUAAUGAUGUUGCUGCAAUUAUUGAUGGCGAUCCAACUAAAUCGCGAGACAUUGUCGUUCAGCGAAGAAGCAAUAUCAUGCAUCGUGUAAACUAGAUGCGUUACAAUAUCCAAUCAUUUAUUGGCAAUCCAAUGACAGGCGUAUCAACGAAUAAAAAUCUAAGCGCAAUGAAUUACUAUGCAUAUCGGAUGAUGAUUCGCACAAAUGAGGAGAAUGUCAUUCUGAAGUGCCGUCGGCUAUUCCAGCAAUUCGCUGUCGACAUGUAUGUCAAAGUCGAGACCGAACGUUUAGCGUUCAUCCGAUUCAAUCAGGCAAAGCUACGAUCUGAGGACUAUAUACACUUGCGUGAUGCUAUUCAUUUAGAUUGUGAUGUUCAGUAUAUUGGAGUUAUGACGAUUCUCCCAUCAUCUUAUAUCGGAAGCCCACGCCAUAUGCACGAAUACGCUCAAGACGCUAUAACGUACGUGCGAAAUUAUGGAACUCCGGAUUUAUUUAUUACGUUAACAUGCAAUCCAAAGUGGACGGAAAUUGAACGUGAGUUGGAACCGGGCCAAAAACCGCAAGAUCGCAUGACAUAAUCGCCAGAGUAUUUCAGCAAAAUCUAGAGGUUAUGAUGGAUGUGCUGAAAGGUAAUUUUUCCAUUUCAAAUAUAAAACAAAAAAAAAAAUGUCUUUAUCUUUUAAUCACCAAACGAAAUGUUACAUAAAACGAUGCAAUUUGGUGGCGAAACGGAGUUCGCCAGGUUUUCUAGUCUAUAUACAUAUCGCUCAUUUGCUGCAACGUCGUCAUAACUCAAAAAUAGUGAUAUUACAGAAGACGCAUUUUUAGUUUUUGAAUUGUAAAUUAAAAAUAAAAAUUAAAUUUGUAGAUGAAAGUAAGAUUAGGGUCCAAUUUGGUCAAAUAACAUCUGGUUAAGACGUCCAUGUAAACUAAAGCUUGAAAUGUAUAAUGGACCGUUUUCUGUAGCUUCAAAAGUACUCCGAGUUUUUCUUAUGACGUUAUUGCUGCAAGAAUAAGUUUUAUGGUCUGACAUAAUUGAAAUUGUGACGUUACUGCAAAUAACAAAAAGAUUUAUAGCUCAAAACCUUUUGCAAAUUCUGAUUUAU